ensembl:snRNA U6 U6 spliceosomal RNA
CUGCUCGCUUUGGAAGCACAUAUACUAAAACUGGAACAAUACAGAGAAGAUAAGCAUGGCCCUUAUGCAAGGAUGAUACACAAAUUUUUGAAAUAAAACUCAGUGAG